rnacentral:lncRNA from 1 species
CUUGUGGGGCACGGCGCCACUUGUUGGGCAUGCACUUGGGGGGCACGGCGCCACUUGUGGGGCACAGCGCCCCACAGAAACCCAGACCCACACACCAUGCCUGGGGAAACACGUGUGGGGCACGCACUUGUGGGGCACAGCGCCCCACACACCCACACACCAUGCCUGGGGAAACACGUGUGGAGCAGGGCGACACUUGGGGGGCACGCACUUGUGGGGCAUGCACUUGUGGGGCAUGGCGCCACUUGUGGGGCACGGUGCCCCACAGACCCACACACCGUGCCUGGGAGAAGAAAUGUGGGGCACGUACUUGUGGGGCACAGCACCACUUGUGGGGCACAGCACCCCACAGACCCACACACCAUGCCUGUGGAAACACGUGUGGGGCACGCACUUGUGGGGCAUGCACUUGUGGGGCACAGUGCCCCAGACACGCACACACCAUGCCUGGGGAAACACGUGUGGGGCACACACUUGUGGGGCACGGUGCCACUUGUAGGGCACGCACUUGUGGGGCACAGCGCCCCACACACCCACACACCAUGCCUGGCAACGACAUGUGGGGGACGCACCUGUGGGGCACGGCCCCACUUGUGGGGCACAGCGCCCCACAGAAACCCAGACCCACACACCAUGCCUGGCAUCGACAUGCGGGGCACAGCGCCACUUGUGGGUCACGCACUUGUGGGGCACGCAGUCCCAUGAGGGUCACAGCGCCCCACAGACCCACACACCAUGCCUGUGGAAACAUGUGUGGGGCACGUACUUGUGGGGCACGCACUUGUGGGGCACAGUGCCCCAGACACGCACACACCGUGCCUGGGGAAACACGUGUGGGGCACGCACUUGUGGGUCACACAGCCCCAUGUGGGGCACAGUGCCCCACACACCCACACAUCAUGCCUGGGGAAACACAUGUGGGGCACGCACUUGUGGGGCACAGCGCCACUUGUGGGGCACGCACUUGUGGGGCACAGCGCCACUUGUGGGGCACGCACUUGUGGGGCACAGAGCCCCACAGACCGUGCCUGGGGGCACACGUGGGGCAUGCACUUGUGGGGCACAGCGCCCCACAGCCCCACAGAUCCAUGUGGGUCACAGCACCCCACAGCCCCAUGUGGGUCAGAGUGUCCCAUGUCCCCAUGUGGGUCACAGCGCCGAUGUCAUCCCAUGUCCCUGUGCCCCACGUCUCUGUCUCAGUGCCCCACAUCUCUGUCUCUGUGCCCCACAACUCUGUGCCUCAGUGCCCCACAUCUCUGUGCCCCACAUCUCUGUGCCCCACAUCUCUGUCUCAGUGCCCCACUCCCCACAGNNNNNNNNNNNNNNNNNNNNNNNNNNNNNNNNNNNNNNNNNNNNNNNNNN